AACGAACGCUGGCGGCAGGCCUAACACAUGCAAGUCGAGCGCCCCGCAAGGGGAGCGGCGGACGGGUGAGUAACGCGUGGGAACGUACCCUUUGCUACGGAAUAGCCUCGGGAAACUGGGAGUAAUACCGUAUGUGCCCUUCGGGGGAAAGAUUUAUCGGCAAAGGAUCGGCCCGCGUUGGAUUAGGUAGUUGGUGGGGUAAUGGCCUACCAAGCCGACGAUCCAUAGCUGGUUUGAGAGGAUGAUCAGCCACACUGGGACUGAGACACGGCCCAGACUCCUACGGGAGGCAGCAGUGGGGAAUCUUAGACAAUGGGCACAAGCCUGAUCUAGCCAUGCCGCGUGAGCGAUGAAGGCCUUAGGGUUGUAAAGCUCUUUCAGUGGGGAAGAUAAUGACUGUACCCACAGAAGAAGCCCCGGCUAACUCCGUG
rnacentral:rRNA from 1 species